CCUACGGGGGGCUGCAGUCGAGAAUUAUUCACAAUGGGGGAAACCCUGAUGGUGCGACGCCGCGGGGGGGAAUGAAGGUCUUCGGAUUGUAAACCCCUGUCAUGUGGGAGCAAAUGAAAAAGAUAGUACCACAAAAGGAAGAGACGGCUAACUCUGUGCCAGCAGCCGCGGUAAUACAGAGGUCUCAAGCGUGGUUCGGAAUCACUGGGCGUAAAGCGGGCGUAGGCUGUUUCGUAAGUCGUGUGUGAAAGGCGCGGGCUCAACCCGCGGACGGCACAUGAUACUGCGAGACUAGAGUGAUGGAGGGGGAACCGGAAUUCUCGGUGUAGCAGUGAAAUGCGUAGAUAUCGAGAGGAACACUCGUGGCGAAGGCGGGUUCCUGGACAUUAACUGACGCUGAGGCACGAAGGCCAGGGGAGCGAAAGGGAUUAGAUACCCGGGUAGUC
rnacentral:rRNA from 1 species